GACGAACGCUGGCGGCGUGCUUAACACAUGCGAGUCGAACGGAAAGGCCCUGCUUUUGUGGGGUGCUCGAGUGGCGAACGGGUGAGUAACACGUGAGUAACCUGCCCUUGACUUUGGGAUAACUUCAGGAAACUGGGGCUAAUACCGGAUAGGAGCUCCUGCUGCAUGGUGGGGGUUGGAAAGUUUCGGCGGUUGGGGAUGUACUCGCGGCUUAUCAGCUUGUUGGUGGGGUAGUGGCUUACCAAGGCUUUGACGGGUAGCCGGCCUGAGAGGGUGACCGGCCACAUUGGGACUGAGGUACGGCCGAGACUCCUACGGGAGGCAGAAGUGGGGAAUAUUGAACAAUGGGCGGAAGCCUGAGGCAGCAACGCCGCGUGCGGGAUGACGGCCUUCGGGUUGUAAACCGCUUUCGCCUGUGACGAAGCGUGAGUGACGGUAAUGGGUAAAGAAGCACCGGCUAACUACGUG
rnacentral:rRNA from 1 species